GACUCCACCAACUCCCCUCUACUACUGCUACUCUCCGAUAUUCUCACCCUAGGCUUGCCCUAGGGAGAACUCAAGUUCAACACAACUGGUCCUCAGCUGCUGUAGGUCUCCUCAUAAUGCCAGUUAGCCACCACCUAAACACCACCACCUGUGAUGAGGAUUAGAUCAUCCUUCAAGUAAAAGGCCCGUCCCUACAACGGUUGGACUCAAACAAGAGCUGCGCAAUAGGGCCAGUUCCAACACUUUGGGAUUAUUCAACCCCGAUUACAUGUGGUGUGACGUGUUUACCUAGUGGCUCACUCCCAUUACUCAGAAUCCCACCGAGCACGAAGCAAGCAGCAUUCGGAUAAGGAAAAACAGACUCAAGCCAAAACUGUUCUUAGAACAAGAAACGACACUUAACAUAGGAUGCUAAGCUCAUACUAUCAGGCAUAACCUAAACAGGCUACCCUACUGCUGUCUACUCAAUUCUAGCAUGCAAUAUUCAAUAAGCUGUAACAAAUAAACAGGCACAUAAGGCAUCACUCCUAGAUCCUUAGCCUAUUCUAGCAUGCAAUAUUCAUAAAGCUGAUAAACAUAACAUAAACUUGUAUGGGUACUAUGGGGAAUACUUACUUGAGCUCGGCCGGUCGCGCACGUCACACACUUUACUCUUUCUCGUGACUCUUUUCCGGGUUUUAAAGAAUAAUUUCUUUUGGAAAAAUCUUUCAAUCCCUCGGUUUGAGUCCAAACACUCCCGAAGGCGUGUCCGAAUCCCUCAAACCAGGGCUCUGAUACCAACUUGUAACGACCCAAAUUUUUUUUUUUUUUUGAUAUUACUUUAGAAAACAUUAAUAAAUAAAAACAUUGUCUAAAUAAAAAGAAACAUUGUUUGUUCACACCAUAACACAUUGCAACCAUGUUCUCAAAAGCCAAACCGUACAUCCCAUCAAAUAUCAGAGUACAAUCCCAGUAAAUCUCAUAAAUGCGGAAACCGAAGAGUGUGUGUAUGACGUGCCGCUACCGCGCCGGCUCCUUCCCCUUCGAUGCAGAGGUACCUGAAAACAAAACUGUAAACGUAAGCACAAAGCUUAGUGAGUUCCCCCAACGUACCGCAUACCAUACAAACACAUAACAUAUAUACUGCCAGGCUAUUCUGGGGUGCCUGACUACCCGGUACGGCCAUUCUGGGGUGCCGACCUACCCAUACGGCCAUUCUGGGGUGCCGUCUUACCCGUGUCAAGCCAUUCUGGGGUGCUGACUACCCAUCGGUCCUAACAACCGAUCCUCGGGGACUAUUUCACCCCUACUACUACGAUCACAUAUAACAUAACAAGCCAGCAUGCAUACAUAUCGUCACAUACUGUCAGACGUAUCUGGGGUGUCUGACUACCCUUCGGUCCGAACAACCAAACUCUACUACUAUCACAUACAGCAUAUCAUGCUAGCAUAUAACAUGUCAGGUACUAGCGAACUUAGAUGAUAUCACAAAGACAAUCAUCUAUCAUACAACUCCUACUGGUGGGUCGGCAUUGUGGCCUUAGACCCACCGCUACUGGAAGGUAACUCACCUCAAAGUAGCUGCUGAACUGAUCGGGAACUAACUGACUGCUGCUGCUCCGGGAGUCCUCCGGCUGCAAUUUCCACGACAUACUCAAUCAAACACUGCUAACUGUCCUUUAGGUAAAAUGACCAUUUUACCCCUGGAUUAACUCUAAGCCAAAGCUGGAGUCAACUUUCAGUUGACCCGACUCGCCGAGUGGAUCACCACUCGCCGAGUCCCUAGCAAACCAAUGUCCUGGGUCCCUGGUUCUACUCGUCGAGUCGGGCUAUGACUCGACGAGUUCACCUUCUAACUGCCAUUCAACACCUUCAUCCUACUCGCCGAGUUGUAUGAACAACUCGUCGAGUUCAUCUUCAUCCGAUGAACACUUUAUGCUAAGACUCGCCGAGUUGUAUGAACAACUCGCCGAGUCUGUUCUUGAGCUAUGAAGAUUGCCUUGGACUCGCCGAGUCAGGGCAUUGACUCGCCGAGUCCUAACAUGGGUGAGUUCAGCUCCCAACUCACCGAGUCACCCCCUGUGACUCAAGGCUCAACUCGACACAUGAAGAAGGGACCAAUUCGGUGACUCGCGACCAGACUCGCCGAGUCACCUAUGCGACUCGCCGAGUCGUCGCCAUGCACUCCUUAAAUAUACCGAUUUGCUCGGUUCCAGACCAUGCCAUUCAUAGAUCUGGACUUCUAGGACACGAAUCACACGUAAAGUUUCCAACUUUACGUGUGGAUAUUCACCAAUAUGGAUUAUAAGGCUCAAAAUGUCUCAAAAUGGUAGAUCUAGGGCUAACAAGCCUCAUGGGGCCAAAAAGCUAACAGAUCUGAGCUCCUGGAGCUCAAUCUUGCAUAGAUCCAAAGGCCAAACGCCUUAUUACGACAUAUAAUGCACAUACAAACUUGGGGAAUUGACCAAGAAAGACCCAAGUGAAGUUUUAAGCAUAGAAUCAAGGGGAAAACGGGUUAUACCUCAAAGGAAAUGUUGAAAUGACACAAGGAUGGCUGAUCUCCUUCUCCUCUUCUUGAUCUACUCCUCUUACUCCUCAAAACCUUCAAGAACACACCAAGAACACCUUAAACUCUCAAGGAAACAAGGGAAAACGAUGUAGGGGGAGUUCUGGGGGUGAAUGGGGACGAGUUGGGGCGGAAUGAGAGUUUAAAUAGGGUGCAAACCCUUGAAACUUAGGGUUUCAUCCCGCAGCGGUGACUCGCCGAGUCCAGGAUAUGGACUCGUCGAGUCGCCUACUUAAAACGCGUCCUGAGUCUCGUCCCUACUCGGCGAGUCGGACCCUAUGACUCGCCGAGUCUGAGGCUAAAUUAGGGCAAUGCUCAAAUAAAAUUCACAUACCGGAAACCGGGUGCUACAAUUUACAUAUGUAAAUGUAGUUUAUUUACAUAUGAUACCUAAUGAUAUUUUUCACUAAGGUGUAGAGAAAAUAAUUAAGGAACUAUAUACUUUGGUGUAUAACUUCCUUUAUAAUGAAUGUCUGAGAUUAAGCACAAGAUACCAAAUCGACUUUAUUGACAACUAUAGUAGUUUUAAUUAUAUUUUACAUGGUAAAAAUCUUUGUUGAAGGUUUCAAAAGUUGAGAUACAAACCAGUAAGAACCAUCUAAGGCUUUAAUGAUAAUAAAGGAUGAAUUAAAUCUUACUUGGUAUGAUUAACUUUCUUAUCGAUAGAAAUAUCCUCCUUUAAUCUCUUUGGAAUAAUAAUUCAAUCACUAUUAAUUGUAUCUUGAAUAAAAAUACCAACUAAUAAGUAUAUUAAACACUUUAUAUGAUUUAGAAUGGAAGGGAUCCAUCCUCAUCUUACUUAAUGUUUUAUGGAUUUGAAGCCGAUGUUGGACUAAAGCUUCAAAACCCAAACUCUACUAAAUACAUAUUUGUAUAACACUCUAAAUGUGGCUUAGAUUGUUAUAUGCUAACCCACCAAGAAUACGUUCUUUUAUUCUUGUGAAAUUUAAGUUAGCAGAAAGUAAGCUUCUAAUGACAAAGCAAGUGGAGAGGUACAUGGAACUUGAAGUAGCUCAAGAACCAUAAUUUUAUGUAUUAACUAGUUAACACUAGUUUUAACAAGGAUUGUUAAAAUUGAAUAAUAGAUAUUCACAAACAUAAAUUGUUCGCAUUAAUGGUAGAAAUCAUCUAUGACUUGAGAAAUGUGGAAUUUCACAUUCAUGAGAUUUUAUUGAUGGUUUCUGGAAAAUCCACCAAAUACAAGGAUGCUAUGUCAGAUAUCAAAUCUGAUAAAUGACUUAGAGUCAUGAACAUGAGAUAUAAUCCAUGUAUGAGAAUCAAGUAUGGGCUUGAUUAAAAUUUAUCUCUAUAGCAAGGCUAGAAGGAGUAAAUGAUUCUUCUAGAAUGAAUAAAUUACAUCAAUAAUCAUACACAUUUAGAGCAAGACUUGACAUAAAAGGAUUUUCUCAUACUCAUGUCAUUGAAAAUGGUCCUCAUCAUACACAUGACAUUAACUAUGAUCAAACUUUAUAACAAGUAGUUAUUGUUAGAUCAACUAGGAUAUUAUUUACUAUAAAUUCAUAAUCUUAAUAUGAGAUAUACUAAAUAGAUUUCAAGAAAGACCGUUUUUCUUAAUAGACUGCUACUAGACGAUAUCUAUAUAGAUUAGCUUGGAGGUUUUCUUAAUCCAUGUUAUCCUAACCAAAUGUGUACAGAUUGAGAUCCACUUGUGGAUAUAAAGCAAACUUCUCAAUUUUAUAAUCAUCAUUUUAUGUAAAACCACAAGGUAUGUUUUUACAUCAAAAAGAAUAGAACAUGUGUGUUUACUAAGAACUAGUGGGAGUAUAGUGAAAUUCCUAAUCUUGUAUGAAUAAGACAUGCUUAAUCAUUUGAAAUCACAUUCUGACUAAGCAAGGUCGUUUUCACCUUGACUCGGAAAGUGUUUCUAAAAUGAAAGACUUAGGAAGGAGAAGAUACUUUCUUGGAAUGUAAAAUAUAUAAGGGAUAGAGAAAAUGAAUGCUAAAAGUUUCAUGUCCUUAUACAUAUCUUGGCAAUGUCCUAAAAGGGAUCAAAACACAAGAUUCUUUUGGAGAAUUAUUGGCAUUGUCAUAUGGCACCAUUUUGAGCUAGCCUCAAAAGUACAUAGCUCAUAGGCUUCAAAUAGAUGAAAUGAUUUAUAUUCCAUUUGCUUGACAAAUGAAUUCAUCAUUUAUGCCAUAUUAUGCAUAGGACAUGAUAUUUGAUCAUGUUGUAAGCAUGCCAUAGAAUACUAAUUGAAUACAUGGUUAAAUCAUUAGAUAACUAAAAGAGCAUUCUAAGAGUACUUUAGAAGAACUAAGAGAGUGUAUAUGAGACAAUCAGCUUAGAAAGGAUCUUUAUGGAAAGAGAUACACACGAUGUUAAUUUCUAAACAGAUAUAAGUAAUUAUGAAUUGUAAUUGGAUUUUGACUUCAUUAUGGAACGAAGAGUAAGUCUUGUUGGAAUGAGGUUCAAGCAAAACAUAAUGACAAAAUCUACUACAAAAUAAGAAUACACUACUUUAGAAGUUGAAUUUAAAUAUGAUUAGAUGAAUGGGGUCAUUAAAAAAACUAUGUUGAUUUCUGCCAUUCAAGGAUCACAUAGAAAUCUUUUUGACUUCGAGAGUAUACUUAAUCAAGCUAAGAUACUCUAUGUCAUGAAAGAACACCAAUCAUAUUCUUAAGAUAUUUAACUACACUUAGAGUAAAGUUAAGUAUGGAGUAUUCACAUAAUUCACACAUAUUAAAUUUUGUGAAAUACAUUAAUAAGGUCAUUGUUUGAGGUAAGUAUGAAUGGUUAAACUUCAGCUAUAAGACUUUAUUAUUCUAGAAAUGGAUUUUUAUUUGGAUUUAGUAUUUGGAUAUUGGAACAUUAUAACAACAACUAUUAGAUAAUGUUAUGAUAUAUUGGGAUAUAUUCAUCACAUUAAUACUUGUUGUGUUCUAUAUUAACAUGUUUAAUCCAUGAAGAAUGUUAUUAUUCUAAAGGUUCAUAGUUGGUUAUAAUUAUGGGAGCAAUUAUAAAUUAAGACUAAUAUGAACUGGAUUGGUUGACUCUCACUAGAUGAAAGGAGGCAAGUGGUUGUAACCAAGUUUCAUAUGUACUUGUUAGAGAACUAGUACUGAACUGACCCACAUCAAGAUCAUCUCAUGGAUCACUAUUAUGAAUGAUAAUUGAUUAAAAGGUACUAUCUUUCUAUCCUUAAAACCUGAGAUACAUAGUGGGACUUAAGUGUAAGGAGUACUAUGCUUUGAUAUGGUCAAAUGUUGUUCCUUAAUCGGGCAGUUAUAAAAGUCAUUUUUAGGUAUGGUGUGAACUAUACAAGAGGCUUAUGUAGUCAAGAUGGGAUUUGUUCCUCUUAUGUGUUGAGAGUUAGGCAUCUAAGGCGCCGUACCAAAAUUUGAACACCUAAUGAGAUUGAUCGCGAUCCAAAUCUCAUGUUCAACAUGAUGUGUGUAGCAAAGGGAUAACUGAUAAACUUACCUUAUACACCAAUUGUAGCUUUGAGCUUUUUUGGGAAUUAGGUGUUGAUAGAAUGGCACAAAGUCGUAUGUUGUUGGGGGCAGUGAAAUGUUGCUAGACAUUCACCACUGUGUAUAUCAAUCUAAUAUCAAUCUUGCGCAAGUGGGAGAUUUAAAGAUCUAGUAUGCUCAAGAAUCAUAUUAAAGUGAUAUUGCUAAUUAACAUAUGAUACUAAUGGGUCACACUAACAACAACUUGAUAUAAUUGAUUAUUUAUUAGAAAUUGAUUUUAAUAAAUAUUCAAUAAAGCUCUUAUAAUUCAAUUGAAAAUUAUUUAUUUCAUGGAAAUAAUAAUUUUCAUUAGCAAGUAAUAUAACAUAUUAUUUCAUAAUGUAUGAAUUAAUAAGUCAUGUACAACAUUUUGGACUAGGUAAGCUUUUUGUCUUUUAGCAAAAGACAAAGUUUAUAUCUUAUAAACUUUGAGUUUAUAAAAUAUAAACUUCCUUUUCUCUUUUUAUCCAUGAUGGCUGAAAUUAAGAGUGUCAUAAGGGGACAUGGCUUUCUAAUUUGUUUAAUCAAAAGUAAUAAGAAGCAUGAGAGACAUGUAAGCUUUAGGGACAUGCUUGUCUAAAGUGGAAGGACCUAAUGGUUAAAGACUUCACUUUAAGACAAUAUAAAUAUGAUGCUUCCACUCUUGAAUUGUUGUUUCAUUCUUGCUUCCCAAAACCAUAACCUCCUUAAAGGAGGUUACUCUCUCUCUCUCUCUCUCUCUCUCUCUCUCUCUCUCUCUUCUUCAUCUAUUCUUGAAGAUUACUUGCAUUUUCAUGCCCUCUUUAAGUUCAUAUUGGUUAUGAACUUUAAGCUUAAGGGAUUAAGAGUUUAUGGACUAGCAUUUACAUCAAGUUGAGUCAUUGUUGGUGUUUCAAAGGUUCCACAUUCUUCAUCAACUUCCAAGCCUCCUAAGAGGACCCAAAGAACAACAAAGGUUUUUAUUUCUUUAUCCUUUCUAUGGUUGGUGUUUAAUCUUUCAAUAACUUGCAAGAAGAUCCUUGGUGGGUAUAAAUUUUUUAUGUUAUGUUCAAAAUUUUAAGUAUUCCGUUGCCAUAUUUGUCUAGUUUAUGAAACUAUUUUUGAACUAAAACCCAACAAUCCCAACUCAAAAAAUUUCUCUAUUAUGGAAGGUUGCAUUAAGUUUGCAGCAAAACUUUUAACAAAAUGAAAUCGAAACGUCUGAAAGAUAGUAAUGGAAGAUAAUUCAUAUGGUUUAUCUUCAUCCGACAAUGAACCUACUGAUACUAAUUUGUUAAUUGUAUUAUUACGUACUGUAUAUGUUUUGUUUCAGAAUAACGCCAGUUCAAGCAUUAUUUAUACAAGAAACUUAACCCAUAAAGACUAUAUAGAUGCUAAAAAACUACGAAUUCAACAUUACUUUCCAGAAUAAUACUAGUUCAAGCAUUGUUUAUGCAUAUUAUAUGUGACCUAGAAAGGAGUUUUCGCUUUUUUCAAACAUGGGAUGCAAGAAAUCAAAGAAGUUUCAGUGUGCUACAAAAUAUACCUCGUAAAUACAUCAGAAAGCAUAUGGAAGCAACUUGGGCUCGUUUAGUUGGGUAUCUUAAUAGGUUAGAAAGAAGUUCAUGUAAAAUUCUUCAAAACUUAUCCUAUGUUGUUGUCCAAGUAUAUUAGGCCGAAUAUUUAGCCAUCCAACAUCCACUUACAUUCAAGUUUUAUACAAAGCACACGAAGCCAUACAUGGAUUCCCUGUAAUAGUUGGUACCAUUGACUGCACAUAUUGGAAUUUGACAAAUUUCCCAACGGAAUUGAGAGGCCAAUACAUGAGGGGUUAUCAUGAGUAUCUAACAAUCAUACUAGAAGUAAUGGCCUCAUGAGAUUUAGCAUUUUGACAUGCAUUCUAUGGUGCAGCCGGUUCGGACAAUGAUCUGAACUCCUUUAUCAAUCACCACUUUUUGAUGAGAAAUAUCACUUAAUAGCACCCAUGUGUUCAUUUAAUCUGAACGGCAAACACUACCAGCAUUGUUACUAUUUUUGGAUGGAAUAUAUCCAACAUGGGUUGUAUUAAUGAAAUCAUAUCUAUAUCUGAUAACCGACAGAAGGAAACGAUUCAAUAGGGCACAAGAAUAAAAAAAAUGACAUAGAAUGUUCUUUUAGGAUCGUUAAAGCAAGUUGGGACACAUUAAAACAACCAACAUGAGUUAUGCUAGCGAAAAAAACAAGACAUAUAAUGUACAUUUGUCUUUUACUACAGAAUAGUUAUUAUGCAUCAACCUANCCCCCCCCCCCCCCCCCCCCUCUUGAUGUAGCUAUUGAUCGAAAAUUACUACAUGAAUUGCGAAAUGCUGAAACCCACCAACAGCUUCGAUCCGAUAGUUGUGAUUACACUGAGCAUGCAUAUAAUUCAUCUCUGGAUAACUAGUUAAUUUUAAUUAUCGUUUUACGAUUUUAAUUAUGUUAUCUUUUUAAUUAUGUUUCUUUUAGUUAUGGUAUAUUUUUUAUUUGUAUUAGUUUUUUUUAAUUAAAAAAUGUUAUGUUUAAUUUUAAUUUUAAUUUUUUUAAUUUAAGUAAUGAUAAUAGUGAUAUUACAAAUGAGUUGAAUUAAUUUUGAAAAAUAGAUUUUAUAUAUUGUAGGUUAAGAAAAUAAUAUAGAGAGUAGAAGGAAAACCCCGCGGCAAAUUAGUUGAGUAGAUCGGAGAAAUGAAUAUUCCCCACCAUAAUAAUUUCCAUUUGUCAAAAAAAACUUAACAUCAAGCAAAAAAAAAAAAAAUUCAAUCAUGAAAUUAAAAGAUAUAAAAGAGACAUUGAUACAGAUACCAUUAUAGGGAAUUAUACGGUUCAUUUAUUAUCAUUAUCAAAAUAAAAACUAAUCAAUCAUAAUAAUGAGAUGCUAUUUAUUCUAAUAUUUACACAUCAAAUAAAAAUUAAAUAUUAUAUUAAUAUGCUAAAAAAAAUAUAAUAUAAAAAAAAUGUAAUGAAAGUAUGAGUGGGGCCAGUUAAAUGAAAUGAAUGGAAGAAAGGCGAGUAGAAGUGCAGACUUUUCUCUCUUCUCAUGGCUUAAGCUUCCUGUUAGCAGCCACGUCCACGUUUCCUUCCUAUAAAACCUUUACAAUCAAUCCCCUUUCUCCCACAACUCUCAGAUUACAUCUUCUUCCCCUCACUCAAUCAUAAGUUAACAACAAUGGAGGCAAUGAAGAUGAUGAAGCUUUUCUCACUAAUGAUGAUGAUGAUGACAAUGGCUGUUUCAGUUGUCUCCGCCGCUGACGAAGUUCCUGCUCCAGCUCCAAUGUUGUCCGACGCCACCACAGUUUUCAUCCCCACCGCCGUGGCCUCUCUUUCUGCACUAGCUUUUGCUUUCCUCUUCUAAUUUCUGGUUCAGUAUAUGCUUCUAUCGAUAUUCGAUACUAUUAAUAUUUAAUUUCUCUUUAUGAUAUUACGUAAUAAUUUUGGGGGUUGUUAUCUGAUUCAAACCCCUUUGUGUUCUAUGUUUUGAAUCUGAAAUUUAAUAAGAUUCAUAUGUUGUAUUAAAUGAUAUUCCUGUAAUAUAUCUACCAUAAAUGAUUUUAUCAAAUAAGACCUAUGCUUAUUUAAAAUUGUAUUGCUUCUAAAAAAAGUCUCAUACCAACGUUUUAAUAUUUCUUGCAAUAUCACGCCAUUCACCAAAUAUAAGAUUUUUUAUGCGUUUUCUUUCGCUAUUAUACAAUAAGUCAAUAAGGGAACAUAAUUAGUCUCUCAUGCUAAUAAGUUUUAAAAAUUAGUAAAAAACGUAAGUGAAUAAAAUUGCAACAAUUAAUACAUAUGAACAUAAUAUAUAUAAAUUAUAAUAAAAAAUACAAUUUUUUGGAACGACGGAAACACGUAAGCAAAUAACUUCAGCAGCGAACUAUCUCACCUCCUGUUAGGCCGCCCGAUAUACUCUCAACGGAGAGCCUUCGUUGCCACCUGGAACCACCACCACAGUGUGGACCCCGUCUGCUCCAUGGUACAACGAUCGUGGUCAAUCGUUGUCUCUACCACAAACCACCACGACCAAUCAGGUCUUUCUUCUUCUAUCUUCCUCUCUUCUUUUCUCUUAUGCGGUCUUUCUUCUUCUAUCUUCCUCUCUCUUCUUUUCUCUCAUGCAAGUAUCUUUUUUCACCGUGCAGAGUAUAUCAGGUUCAAUGUGGAAGGAAGGUGGAUGGAGAUGGUGGUGACGUGGAGGAGGAUGUAUAUCGUGGUCAUUGCCGAUUUAACGGAUGAUCUUAUAAUAAAAGAAUAGCUUUAUUCCUAUUUUGUUAUAUGUCACUCUAUUAGGCCUCCUAAUUAAUGUCC
rnacentral:lncRNA from 1 species